UACGUAGGUGGCAAGCGUUGUCCGGAUUUACUGGGCGUAAAGAGCGCGCAGGCGGUCGUUCAAGUCGCGUGUGAAAGCCCCCGGCUCAACUGGGGAGGGUCACGCGAUACUGAUCGACUCGAAGGCAGGAGAGGGAAGUGGAAUUCCUGGUGGAGCGGUGAAAUGCGCAGAUAUCAGGAGGAACACCCGUAGCGAAGGCGGCACUCUGGGCCGAUACUGACACUGAGGAGCGAAAGCGUGGGGAGCGAACAGG
rnacentral:rRNA from 1 species